UACAGAGGGGGCAAGCGUUGUUCGGAAUUACUGGGCGUAAAGGGCGCGUAGGCGGCCUGCUAAGUCGAACGUGAAAUCCCCGGGCUCAACCCGGGAACUGCGUCCGAUACUGGUGGGCUUGAAUCCGGGAGAGGGAUGCGGAAUUCCAGGUGUAGCGGUGAAAUGCGUAGAUAUCUGGAGGAACACCGGUGGCGAAGGCGGCAUCCUGGACCGGUAUUGACGCUGAGGCGCGAAAGCCAGGGGAGCAAACGGG
rnacentral:rRNA from 1 species